GAGUUUACAUUCUCUAGUUCCCCCUGCCCAAAGCUACAUUUGUAUAGUAUCCCUUAAAAGAAAACAUAUCCACAGUUCUUAGAAUAACCAGAACCAUCCACGCCAACAUAAGGAACUGGGAUGACGAUCUUCCUCGUCUGCUUCCAGCUGAAUUGGGGCGAAGAAUUCCCUUCUGGGGCCCAAGGGGAAUUAGGAAGAGUUGGCUUUGUCGAAGUAGAGCUAGCCGGGAUUUGCCUGCCAGUCACUCUGUGCUGAGAAAGUUCAUCGCUUAGCUGACCUCUUGACUAUGACAGUCUGAAGGGCUGGAUAAGUAAGCUGGCCAUUCUGGAAAAGUUCUGAAAGCAAGUCUUUAAAUGAAGCAGCUUCAGUGUCAUUGAGGGAGAAUCAAACACGAAGCUGGACUGGAAGGUCCCGGAAUCUCAGCAUCCCAGAGUGUGGAUCAUUUCAGGGCUGUCUUUCUCUUCUUUCAUCCUGCAGCACACAAACUUUACAAGCAUCAUAUAGUUCUGUAAGCGCAUCCACAUGGAGUAAGCAGGGUGCACAGCUUAGUUAAUAAAGAUCAACAAAGAAAGGUGACUGCCUUUCUUCAGGUUAGUUUGAUCAUAUAAUCAAACCGUAACAUAAUUUUGUAAUACAUGCCAUUUUACAGGAUGCAUGUAAUAACAAGUUAUGAGAAAUUCGUACUCAAAAUGUUACUGGCUGUUUAUAGACAUUUUAGUCUCAGCCAGUUCAUACACGGAGACCUAAACAUCCUCAUAUAUACAUCACCUAUUUGUUGAUUGUCUUAGUCUCCCUUUUCUUCUGUGUUGCCAAGGACUUCAGGAGGUCUCCCCUUGUCAUGUCUGAUCUUUAUCAGCUUGGAAGGAACCCACAGCUUUUCUUCUCCUGUAGAAACAUAGGCAUAACCCCUUCCCCAGCGUCUCCAGCUUCUCCUUCUCCCGCGACGACUCUCUCCUGAUUCUUUCUUUUCUCCUCCCCUGACUCCUCCCCUCUCCUGACUCCUCCCC
rnacentral:lncRNA from 1 species